rnacentral:tRNA from 1 species
GGGGCGGUAGGCUUAAUGGCAAACCGCUUGUCUAGCCAGCCAAGAGUUACGGGUUCGAAUCCCGUCCGCUCCA